rnacentral:rRNA from 1 species
GACGCCGCGUGAGUGAUGAAGGCCUUCGGGUUGUAAAGCUCUGUGGGAGGGACGAAAAGGUAGGGAAUAAUACCUCUGCCCUUGACGGUACCUCCUUAGCAAGCACCGGCUAACUCUGUGCCAGCACCUGCGGUGACUGAGCGGGCUGGCAAGGCGCAUA